CUUGUUUUCGACUUGUCUAUGUGUGUUUUAAUAUGCCUAAGUGUUUAUACUUGUUUAUGUGCUUGUUUGCUAUAAGUUUGAGUCGAGUUGAGAGUUAAGUCGAAAAUUGGACGUGUGAAUCCUUAGAAGCCAAGUAUACCUAGGGAUUGAGUUUUAACGGGUAAAUAGAUGUUGAGUGAGAAGUUAGAGUAAAGAAGAAAUUGGAUUUAGAAUUUGAGUUUCUGACUAAGGUUUGUUUUAUCACAUGAACCUUCGAUGACGAUGACGAUGUGAUGAUGACAUAUGAAGGCCCGAGCGAGACGAAGAAGUAAGUUGCCUGAUUUCUUUCCAGAAUAAGCGAAGGACUUCAGGCUAAGCUGGGAGUGAGAUUGGACUGGUGCUGAUGGGGGAGAGUUUCAAAUGAUGUAAAUUAAAUUACUAUUUUGCCUCUAUGAUAAUAGAGUCUUGAUGUUUGAAUUACUUAGUUUCUUUUGAGAUCAAGCAAUACACUCACGGUUAUGUGUCUUCAUACAUAUAAUCGGUUCGCCUUUUGCUGCGACACUCUG